rnacentral:lncRNA from 1 species
ACAGUUUAUUGCCAUCCAUUAUUUCAACCUUUGUGCUUUGGUCUUGCUUGCUAUGCUACUGUUGAUUUUGGAAAAUCUUGAAGAUGAGGUUAUUAAUCAGGUGAUCGUGCUAUAUGGCCUGCUUUAACAUUAAUAUCUGAACUAGCAUUCAAAAAGUUAUCCUACUGGAAAACUGAAGAAAAAAUUUCCUAGUUCUCAGCAAGCUUCUUAAUGGGGCAGUAAAACCCCAAAAACUUAUACCUCAAGCUCAUGCAAGUGUCACGGCCCGAAAGUUAGCAUGUCCAAGAGGUUUCCAUGGCACGGGCGUGACCCGUGAUGACCCUCGACCUAUGUCCCCGAGAUGUACAGUAUUCUCCUAGGGGCGGGUGAUACCGUAUUUGUACGCAUACAUUAUAAAUGCGAGUAGCUGGUAGUUGGCCAUAAAUGCAUAUAGCUGGUAGUUAGCUAUGAAUGCAAGUGGUUGGUAGAUGGGGAGGUGCAAUCUCCACCGUUAGAUCUAAGGGAGAUCUACGGGUAGGGUUUGCUGUAUACUUGUAUAUAAAGGGGUGUCCUCCCUCAUUGUAACUCAUUCACAACAUAUAUGAAAAUCCAGAGCUUCUCUCUCAUCAAGUGUUUAUCUCUCUAGAAGUUCGUUGUGAGUCGAGUGUGAGAAAGGCUGCUUAGGGGUAAAACCUUAAGGCCGCACGGGUGAAUCGAGAGUUGAUCGAGAGUUGAUCGAUCGGCCCGUGACAAGUGGUAUCAGAGCUGAUUUGCGAUCCAAGCGCAAGUGCAAUGGCUGAUCCACGAUCUGAUGAGGCGUUGGUCCUGGGUGAAGACGGCGCUGAUCGUGGGCGGAACGCCAAGAAGGGCGGUGGCCGAGGGAAGAAAGCCCGUGGUGGUUCAAAGGAGCCUAUGGGGGAUCUUGCACAACGGAUGGCGAAGCUAGAGCUGUUCGUCUGCGAUGUCCAAGGAUCGGUCGAUGACCUGACCCAGACCGUGGACGGAGUUGACGCCGGAAGGGAGGAGCUGUUUGCGGAAGUGCAAGAGCUCAAGACCGGCAUGGGAGAACUCCGCCACGAGUUGCUGGGGACCCUACAGGAAGAACUCACCCAAAGGUACGAACCCUUGGAGGCUGCAAUGGCGGCCAUGCGCGCGGAGAUUGCUGAGCUUACGGGUAAGCUCGCCGAGGCACAAGCUGCACGCGUGAACGGUGUCAUCACGGUGCAAGGUCCACGGGUGGACACACCGAAGCCAAAGGAAUUCCGGGGCUCGCGGGUGGCCAAGGACGUGGACAACUUUCUGUGGUACAUGGAGCGAUACUUCCAGGCCAUGGGAAUCAACGACGACCAAACACGGGUAAACACUGCAUCUAUGUACUUAGCGGAUAGUGCUUUGUUGUGGUGGCGUCGUCGGUCGGAUGAUAGGUGCGGGAAUCCUAUCGCGACCUGGGUAGGCUUCAUCGAAGAGUUUCGACGGAACUACUUUCCCGCUUAUGCGGAGGAGGAAGCUCGUGACGAGCUGAAGUGUCUCGAGCAAAAAGGUGGUGUGCGCGACUACAUCAAGCGGUUCUCGGAGUUGCUACUCCAAAUCCCCUCGAUGAAUGAAGUUGAAGCGUUUCACCAGUUCAUGGGUGGUCUCAAACCAUGGACGAAGCAAGAAUUGAAGCGGUACAACGUGGGAGAUCUCAUUACGGCCAUGACCGUAGCCGAGUCGCUCGUGGAGUACAAGGCGUCGCCUUCCACAUCCCGACCGGACACCCGUCCAAGGGACAAAGGCACUGGUGGGGGAGAUCGGGGUAGAUUCAACAAUCGCCCGACUGGAGCUAGACCGCCGAAUGGUCCUCAUCCUCACCGGGCCAAUGCUGGACAAAAUGGAGGUGGGCAAAGGAAGGUACGUUCCUAUAGCUGCUUCUUCUGCGACGGCCCACACAUGGCGCGGGAUUGCCCGAACAAAGCCAAGUUGGCCGCUCUUUGUAAGGAAGACGAGCCUAGGGAGGAAGCACGGUUGGGAUCGUUGCGACUCCUUAGCACGAUCAAGGCCAAGAAGGCAAAGGAGCCUAAAGGCUUGAUGUUCGCGGACGUGAAGAUCAGAGUGACCACAAUGAGUGCGCUCGUGGACACGGGAGCAUCCGACAUCUUCAUCUCGGAAGAAGCCGCGAAGAAGCUUAACCUACGGGUUGAGAAGGGAGCCAGCUGGCUCAAGACCGUGAACUCAAAGGAAGUCCCUGCGAUCGGGGUUGCAAGGGACGUGGAGCUACAACUCGGCUCGUGGAGAGGCAAGGAGACUCUAGAGGUAAUUCCACUUGACGACUACGAUAUUGUCAUUGGAAUUAAAUUCCUAGAUAGGAUCCAAGCUGUUGUAGUUCCCUUUGCGGAAUGCAUAUGCGUGUUGGAAAAGAGUAGCCAAUGCAUGAUUCCGGUCCAUCGUGAGUCGGAGCGUGAUCGAAAGAUGAUCUCGGCUAUACAACUCACCAAAGGAGCAAGGAAGGGAGAGAUGACCUUCCUGGCGACCUUGAAGAUCGAGGACGAUAAGGGUGAAGGGAAAGAAGUCCCGACGGAAGCGACCCAAGUCCUCGACUCGUUCAAGGAUGUUAUGCCUUCGGAGCUGCCGAAGAAGCUGCCACCCAAGAGAGAGGUGGAUCACCGGAUCGAGCUUGUGCCUGACGCUCGACCGCCGGCCAUGGCGCCUUACCGUAUGGCGCCACCCGAGUUAGAAGAGUUGAGGAGGCAACUCAAGGAGCUGCUCGAUGCGGGCUAUAUACGGCCGUCAAAGGCCCCGUUCGGUGCGCCGGUCCUAUUCCAAAAGAAGCACGAUGGGUCACUCCGGAUGUGCAUCGACUACCGGGCGCUGAACAAGCUGACCGUGAAGAACAAGUAUCCGAUCCCGCUCAUUGCGGAUCUCUUUGAUCAACUUGGGAGCGCUAAAUGGUUCACCAAACUGGAUCUCCGAUCGGGUUACUACCAAGUUCGGAUCGCCGAGGGGGAUGAGCCAAAGACAGCCUACGUGACGCGGUACGGAUCCUAUGAAUUCCUGGUUAUGCCGUUCGGUCUAACCAACGCUCCGGCCACUUUCUGCACGAUGAUGAACAAGGUACUCCAUCCUUUCCUAGAUAGGUUUGUUGUGGUUUACCUGGACGACAUCGUCAUAUAUAGUCGGACGUUGGAAGAACAUGUCGAGCACAUAAGGCAGGUCUUCCGAACCUUGCGCGAGAACGAGCUGUUCGUCAAGCGCGAGAAGUGUGCCUUCGCCCAAGAAGAAGUUCCGUUCUUGGGGCACAUCGUCGGGGGUGGACGUGUGCGGAUGGACAAGGCGAAGAUUCAAUCGAUCGUCGAAUGGGAGCCGCCGACGAAGGUACCUGCGUUGAGGUCGUUCUUGGGCCUCACCAACUACUACCGACGGUUCAUCCGGAGCUACUCAAGCAUCACCGUGCCACUCACGGACCUGCUAAAGAAAGAGAGGGCGUGGGAGUGGACGGAUCGAUGCGAAAGAGCCUUCGACCGAUUGAAGACCGCCAUGACCGAGGAGCCGGUGUUGGCGUUGCCCGACCACACCAAACCUUACGAGGUAGAGACCGAUGCAUCAGAUUAUGCGAUCGGUGGUGUUCUUAUGCAGGAUGGACAUCCGGUGGCGUUCGAGUCUCGAAAGCUGAACGACACGGAGCGUCGGUACACCGUCCAAGAGAAGGAGAUGACGCGGUGGUGCACUGCCUUCGGACGUGGAGACAUUACAUCCUGGGAUCGAAGUUCGUCGUGAAGACGGACAACGUGGCCACGAGUUACUUUCAGACCCAAAAGAAGUUGAGUCCGAAGCAAGCUCGGUGGCAGGAUUUUCUGGCGGAAUUCGACUACGCGCUGGAGUACAAGCCGGGGAAGGCCAACUCUGUAGCAGACGCGUUGAGUCGAAAGACGGAGCUGAUGAGCCACACGGUAAGUCGACCAAGCUGCCCUUGGGUCGACCGCAUCAAAGAAGGGCUGGAGCAUGAUCCAAGAGCCCAAGCUCUCAUCGGGUACGCCAAGGAAGGUAAGACCCGACAAUUCUGGUGUGAGGACGAGCUCCUUUACACCAAGGGAAGGCGACUUUACGUGCCCUUCCAUGGGAAGCUGAGGAAGGAAAUCUUACGCGAGUGCCACGACUCGAAGUGGGCGGGUCAUCCUGGGAUCCACCGCACGUUGGCCCUCGUCGAAGAUCGGUACUAUUGGCCCCAAAUGCGCGACGACGUGGAGGCGUAUGUGAAGACUUGUCUGGUUUGCCAACAAGACAAGCUGGAGCAACGAUCGUCGCCAGGCUUACUGGAGCCGCUUCCCGUCCCAACUCGUCCAUGGGAAAGCAUUUCCAUGGACUUCAUCGUCAACCUACCAAAGUCCGAAGGGUGCCGGACUCUAAUGGUGGUGGUCGACCGGUUUUCGAAGUAUGCAACCUUUGUGCCUGCGACAAAGGAUUGCCCGGCCGAAGAAGCGGCCAAAUUGUUCAUGAAGCAUGUGGUGAAGUACUGGGGAGUGCCAAGAACGAUCGUGAGCGAUCGGGAUCCCCGCUUCACGGGACGCUUCUGGUCCGAAUUGUUCAAGCUGCUGGGGUCGGAGUUGAACAUGUCAACGAGUUUGCAUCCCCAAACCGACGGUCAGACGGAGCGGGUCAAUGCACUCUUGGAGAUCUACCUCCGGCACUACGUGAGCACGAUGCAAGUGGAUUGGGCGAAGUUGAUCGACGUAGCCCAGUUCUCCUACAACUUGCAGCGGAGCGAGUCGACCGGCCAGAGUCCGUUCGAGGUUGCAACUGGGCAACAACCGAACACCCCGAGCACCAUUGCUUCGGGUUACCGGGGGAGUAGUCCGCCCGCGUACAAGUUCGCCAAGAAUAUGCAAGAAGAGACGGACUUGGCCGGGCGUGUCUACACAAAGCCUCCAAGCGCAUGAAGAAAUGGGCGGACAAGAAGCGACGGCAUGUGGAGUUCCAAGUUGGAGACCAAGUGCUGGCCAAGCUGCACGUGGUUCUUCGAUAUAAGGACGUGCACAAAGGGUUGAUCCGUCGCUACGAGGGGCCAUUUCGAGUGCUACAACGGGUUGGAAGAGUUGCAUACAAGCUGGAACUACCGCCGAAGCUAAAAGUACAUCCGGUGUUCCACGUAAGUAUGCUCAAACCCUUCCAAAUUGAUGAGGAAGACCCGGAUCGAGGAGAGUCUCAUCGAGCACCGCUCGGGGCAAAGACCUCGUAUGAUCGGGAAGUUGAGUCCAUCUUGGCGGACCGAGUCAUACGAAAAAGGUAUUGUGCGCCCAAGCGCGAAUAUAUGAUCCGAUGGAAGGGUCUUCCGGAGAGCGAAGCCAGUUGGGAGCCCGAGGAGAGUCUUUGGCAGUUCAAGAAAGAGAUAGAAGAUUUCCAUGCCGAAGACGCGACGAGGGCGUCGCCUAAUUAGGUGGGGGAGAAUGUCACGGCCCGAAAGUUAGCAUGUCCAAGAGGUUUCCAUGGCACGGGCGUGACCCGUGAUGACCCUCGACCUAUGUCCCCGAGAUGUACAGUAUUCUCCUAGGGGCGGGUGAUACCGUAUUUGUACGCAUACAUUAUAAAUGCGAGUAGCUGGUAGUUGGCCAUAAAUGCAUAUAGCUGGUAGUUAGCUAUGAAUGCAAGUGGUUGGUAGAUGGGGAGGUGCAAUCUCCACCGUUAGAUCUAAGGGAGAUCUACGGGUAGGGUUUGCUGUAUACUUGUAUAUAAAGGGGUGUCCUCCCUCAUUGUAACUCAUUCACAACAUAUAUGAAA